rnacentral:rRNA from 1 species
GACGAACGCUGGCGGCGUGCCUAAUACAUGCAAGUAGGACGCAGUUGCGAACGGGUGAGUAACGCGUAGGUAACUACCUAUUAGAGGGGGAUAACUAUUGGAAACGAUAGCUAAUACCGCAUACUAGUAGAUGGCACUGCGUUGUAUUAGCUAGUAGGUAGGGUAAUGGCCUACCUAGGCAACGAAACAUAGCCGACCUGGGGGGGGGAUCGGCCAAACUGGGAAUGAGACACGGCCCAGACCCCUCACGGAGGCAGCAGUAGGGAAUCUUCGGCAAUGGGGGGAACCCUGACCGAGCAACGGCGCGUGAGUGAAGAAAGUUUUCGGAUCGUAAAGCUCUGUUGUUAAGGAAGCGGUACUUAACCAGAAAGGGACGGCUAACUACGUGCCAGCAGCCGCGGUAAUAC